AUGUUUUCAAAUUCGAUAGUUAUUUUCACUGUCAUUUUCUGUGAUUGAUUGUAAUAUGAAAUUCAUUUUUUUUAAUGUUGAACAAAUUUGAUUAUUUGGAAUCUUCAUUAUUACCAAUUCUAGUUUAAAAAUCUAAAUUCUAUUAUUUAGAGGAACGGUGGUGAACUUGAGGUUUGCAUUAGAUUUUGAGAUUUGGGUUUACAGUUUAGGGUUUUGGGUUUAUAUUUGGGUUUAGGAUUUAGUGAUUAGUGUUUAGGGUUUAGUAAUUUCAUUCUCAAACUUGGCCAUUUGGCAAAUGUAAAUGGAGUGGACCAGUACUUAUAUACCAUUUAUAGAGGUUCCAUACUAUGUCGUGUACAUUGAGAAAAUUGACAACAAUUAUAUAGAUUUUGUUUGGGUUUAUACUUUAGUUAUUUGGGUUUAGAUUUAGUAACUAGGGGUUUGUCUAGGGUUUUAGUAUUUAAGUGGGUUAGUAGAGUUUAGUGUUUAGGGUUUAUAUCUGUGUUUAGGGUUUAGUGAUUAGAGUUUAAGGUUUAUAUUUGGGUUUAGGGUUUAGUGGUUAGGGUUUAAAGUUUAGUGAUUACUGUUUAGGGUUUAUAUCUGGGUUUAGGGUUUAGUGAUUAUGGUUUAGUGUUUAUAUUUGAGUUUAGAGUUUAGUGAUUAGGGUUUAGGGUUUAUAUUUGGGUUUAGGGUUUAGUGAUUAGGGUUUAGGGUUUAGUGAUUAGUGUUUAGGGUUUAUAUAUGGGUUUAGGGUUUAGUGAUUAGGGUUUAGGGUUUAGUAAUUUCUUUUUCAAGCUAGAGUUUAGGGUUUAGGGUUUAUAUGUCAUGUCUUCAAAUUUGAUAUUUCUCUUCUAUACCCUUUUGUAUGAUUGCUCGUAAUAUAAAAUUAUUUUCAUUCAAAUGUUUGGCAAUGUUAGGGUCAUGUCUAGUUCAAGAACGUCUUUUUCAUCAACAAGUGUUUUUAUUUCUUCUCGUACUAUUUCACAUAUGAUGCUCAACUAAUAUAAAUAGAACAAACACUUGUAUACUAUUUUAUACAAUGUUUCAUACUAUGUAUGUAUAGUACUUGAAAAUAUUAUAAAAUAUUAUAUAUUUCAGAUUUUUGAUUUUCUUUUAAAUAUAUAUUAUAGCUUAGAUUUGGGUUUAGGAUCUAGUGAUCAAGUUUUAGAGUUUAGUAAUUAGGGGUUCAGUUUAGAGUUUAGUAUGAUAUUUUCCAUCUUUAUAUACUAUAGUUUAAUAUCACAAAAUAUUAUAUAUAUUUUUCAGAUUUUAAUUUUAUUUUAAAAUUAUAAAUAUAUAAUAUAGUUUACAUUUGAGUUUGGGUUUAGUGAUCCAUUUAGGGUUUAGUAUUUAAAUGUUGGAGUUGAUUUAGGUUUAUAUUUGCUUAUAUUUGGAUUUAAGGUUUAGUGGUUAGGGUUUAAGGUUUAGUAUUUAUAGAUUAGUUUCAGAUUGAGAUAAGUUUUAGUAUAUAGAUUUAAGGGUUGAUGUAUAAUUAAUAUUCUAUAUUAUUUUGGUGAUAUGAAGUAGAAUUAAUGAAAUAUUUAUGGUUAUAUGUAUGUGUGAUGUGGCUGUGUUAUCUUUCUUUUGUUGAUGACAGUUUGCAUUAAUUGAUGGCCACACUUGGAUUUUGUCAACGUCAUCUCAACAUCUUUAAGUCACCGAAAACUUGUAUGAAUCAAGGAUAAAACCGAUGGAAAUGAAGCACAAUUGAUAGAUAAUACAUUAUGUCAAAAUCAGUGUUCUACACUUAAUUUAUUUCCCAAACUUGGUCAUUUCACAAAUUCACCCAAAAUUGUAUUGUAUUACCACCAAAAAAAUUAUAAUUCAUCCUCUAAUCAAUUACCUUAAAUUUCAUCGAUAUAUGAUGUAUUAAAUGUAGUUUUACCCUUUCAUUCAACCGAUGCAACCUGUAAAAAAAAAUAUAAGUUAGUUAUUAUUUAUUGAACAAAGUAAACGUGGAUCUUCUUUUGUCACAAACAAUUAAUCCAAGUAAAUUUGUAUAUGAUAAAAUUGAGAAAAC
rnacentral:lncRNA from 1 species